CACAGAACUGAGUAUAAUUUUCGGUUGUUGGCAGAAUUUUAGAGUAUGCAAUAGAAAUAUUCAGUCCACACAUGAAUUGAGUUUGACACUCCUGGCGCUUUAAGCAUAUUACAAAUCAACAGUGUUUUUUUGUUGUUAUUAAACACAUAUAGUCAAGAUACUAGUAGUAGCAUUCAAAAAAGCAGAACGAGAACACAUGUAUUAGUUGUUUUAAAAUGUAUCAGAAAUACAUUUCCAUAAACUAUACACACUGCUUUAAUGUCGGUGCGCAGUGACGCAGAAAGGCAGUGUGUAGUGUAUCAAUACACUAUUGGAGUAUUAGUAACCGCCACACUUCAAGGUUACACGAUUCUCGAUCGCUUAAAUGGUAAAGAGCUAAUGCGAUACGUGUAAAUGAUCUUCUAGACACAGAUUGGAUCGAACAUCCGUUUAGCUUAGCUUCCUUCCGUAUGCCAUUCGAUCAUAAUAUUUGUGCGAUCGAUAAUCAAAAAUAACUCAUUUGAAAAAGAAUAAGAAAGAUAUGCCGAAUUAGCUCGCUGAUCUUGAUCAAUACAGCGAUUCUUCUUUCAGCCCAUCAGAUAUAUCGUUCUGUUCGGUGAGACACGUUACGUUUAUGUAACCACGUUCUCUGUAGGUCAAGUUACAGCAGCCGUAUAUAAUUAAAUAUUUUAAUAAUGUUAAUAUAGUUGAUCACAUAUUAAACCAUAAUAGAGAGAGAGAGUGGUGCAACAAAUGCAAACGAGAUCAACUUUCGUACUAUGUGAGUGUUGCUGUGUUGCUGUUAUUAGAGUACUGUCCUUUAUUAAUUAUUUCUUUCAAUAUUAUCGUUGCUGUUGCUGUUGUUGUUUUAUGGUUUGUUAUAGAAAUUUGCUUGUGGACAUUAUUGGUCUAAUGCUGUACCAUCAUCAUCCUCGUUCAAUGAGCUUAGCCGUGUGAGAAGACCUGAAGUGUUUGAAUCUGCUCGCAGAGCAGUAUAUCAAAAGUGCGUCUACAGUAUGUGAAUGUGCAUGUUGCUCACCCAUUUCUAUUCCUGUUUUUUGUUGUUGUUGCUCUUGUUCGCUUUUACACAAUUUUAAACAUCGACACGGUUGUGACCGAUAGAGUAUUUUUAGCGUGACCAGCUCUGAUGCUUCCUGUGCACACAUGUUCAAAAAAAAAACACACAUUUGCUGCAAGCAAAACGCGCUGGUAUUUUUAGAAAUUUUAUCUUUUCCAUUCCGACUGUUGUCAGUAUUGAUUUUCCCUCUGCCUGGAACGCACCGAACAGGCGCGUUUGUGUAGCGCACUUGUGAACAAAGCAAAACCACCCGGGGACCUAACACCAAGUACUUUGUGUACAAUGAGCGAAACUAGAAAUUUGAUGACUACCUUUUUCAUCCUAAUUUUUCUACUUCUGCUACUGUAUCUCGUAUACGAAGGCUUCUAUCAGCCGGAAAUGUAAUUGAAACGGUCAUUUGUUAUUAUGUUCUAUACGUACUUUUACGGCUGCCCAACAAACUGCUGAUGAUUUGUCAAAAGACAAAACCAGUCAUACAAUUUAUUUGAAUUCUGAAUCUAAACUGACGCAAAAACGUUUGGUUUGUUGGUGAUUUUUGGGACAUGGCUUUCAUACCAGCGAAUCAAAAGUAAUAUAUCACGCGUGCACGCACACGCACUUUCAUAGAACUUUCUGUGGCACUACCUAGCACUACCAACCAACCGAACCCUAAGAUCACAAACUUCGCCAAAAAUGAUGGAACGCAUGACGAUGGUGGAUUCUCUGUUAAAACUUGACUUAAAUGUCAAGCUGGGAAACCACAUAGGGUCCAACUGUUUCCAACUCAUCAUCAACCAUUAUCAGCCCGAAUCGUUUAGCGGCAGCAGAAUGAAGAAGGACGAUAAAAUUACCAAGGAUAAAAUGAUGGACCGGAAAGUUAGACACCCUACUGCAUCGUUUUCUACCAAAUCCAUCAUUAUGAAUCUUGUAAUAGCAUUUUUUCUCUAUCUGCUGAGACGCACCAUAGGUCUGUAUUAUUAUACCUUUGCCCGAGCUAUACCCGUUCCACCGCUCAUACAACUGAACGUUAUGAUUAACUUUACCUUUUUUUUAGAAGCUGGUGGGAAAAGCGCCAUAACAAAGUAUAGUAAAUUUAUCAAAUAAAUUGCCCUUCUGUGCCGUUUGAAUGGAAUACCAAUAAAAUUGUUAUGCCAGUCGUUAGUCGUAUUUUUA